UUUCUGUUUGAAAAGGCAUCAGCACUGGACAGAGCCCAUUGUGGAGAUGGAGUUCCCAACUCAGCUUUUUUAUUUUUUGCUGCUGUGGCUCCCAGGUUCACAAGGCAAUGUUGUUGUGACCCAGACCCCGGCCUUCUUGUCUGUGGCUCUGAAAGAGAGUGUCACCAUCAACUGCAAGACCAGUCAGACUGCACUACACAGCAAUGGACAUACUUACUUUCAUUGGUAUCAGCAAAAAUCAGGACAAGCUCCUAAAUUAUUGAUUUACGAAGUUUCCAAUCUAAGUCCUGGUAUUUCCUCUAGAUUCAGUAGUAGUGGUUCUGGGACAGAUUUUACCCUCACAAUAAGCAGUGUGGAGCCUGAGGAUUCAGCCACCUAUUAUUGUCAAUAUGGAAAUCACUGGUUUAUACACAGUGCCCCAGGCCUGAACAAAAAUCUCCAUAUAUCAUUCAGCCCUGAGUUCAGAAGACUAGUUGUUUUUUACCAGAGGCUUAGACUCACAGCAGGUGGUGUUCUAAGUUGCAGAUAGAACUUAGCUCAGCCCUCCUUUUAGAAUCCCUUCCUAUUAUAUAUCCCAUUGCUCAAGAAGCAGCAUGAAAAAUUAAAAUAAUCUUUGACCAAAAAGGACUUCUGUUCUACUAGCUGAAAUAAUAUUUUAUGCCUAAACUUUGUCACCUAGAGAAAUUUUCCCAGUUCAAUAUUCCCAUAACCUUUAUUUUAAAUGUUUUGAAUUAGACACAUGCCUGAGAUGACUUUUCUGAUUUGUACAUUUCUAAGUAGUGAUGCUUAGAUUUAAAAUAAUGUUAAUUGAAUAAAAACUGUA